UUAUUUGAAACAGGAUACAACCUCCAACACUGGGUAAAUGAUAGUGAUACAAGCAAAGUGGGCCUAAAAGCAGCCACCUUUCAAAAAGCGUCAUAGCUUAACCUCCCUCACACCCCAAUUCAUAGAAACGCCCUCAACCCUUCACCAGUACUGAACUAUUUUAUAUUUUUAUAAAAAUAAUUAUGCUAAAACUAGUAACAAGAAAUUGCCCUUCUCCUAAUGCAAGUAUAAAUCUUAAUGACACCCCCCCCAAUGAUAAUUAACGUUGAUACACCAAAUAUAGCAACAUAUAUCUAGAAAACCCUAUUAUCUUAAACGUUAACCUUACACCAGAGCAUUACAGGAAAGAUUAAAAGAGAAAGAAGGAACUCGGCAAACUUCAGCCCCGCCUGUUUACCAAAAACAUCGCCUCUUGAUUUCUAUAAGAGGUCUAGCCUGCCCAGUGACAAAGUUCAACGGCCGCGGUAACCUAACCGUGCAAAGGUAGCAUAAUCACUUGUUCUCUAAAUAGGGACUUGUAUCAAUGGCAUCACGAGGGCUUCACUGUCUCCUUUCUCUAAUCAGUGAAACUGAUCUUCCCGUGAAGAAGCGGGAAUUUUAUU
rnacentral:rRNA from 1 species